UACGGGGGGAGCAAGCGUUGUUCGGAUUUACUGGGCGUAAAGGGCGCGUAGGCGGUCAGCACAAGUCAGUUGUGAAAUCUCCGGGCUUAACUCGGAAAGGUCAACUGAUACUGUGCGGCUAGAGUGCAGAAGGGGCAACUGGAAUUCUCGGUGUAGCGGUGAAAUGCGUAGAUAUCGAGAGGGACACCUGCGGCGAAGGCGGGUUGCUGGGCUGACACUGACGCUGAUGCGCGAAAGCCAGGGGAGCGAACGGG
rnacentral:rRNA from 1 species